CUCGGCUGGGCGCUCACGGGUGCGCCCGGGAACCGGGAAGGCAGGCGGCGGCCCCGCUCCGCCGGGCUCCCGGGGGCUCGGCGCCGCGUUGCGGGUGCCCCUGCCCCCACCCUCGGGCGCCUCCGGCGCGACUGGAUGGACUCUCGGGGGCUCGCGCUGCGGAGAUCCACUUGUCAGUUCAAGGGCAGGACAGAAACUCUGCAAGCGGAGUCUUGCGAACAGGAAAUUUCUCAUUGACAAGGCAGGUAGAAUCAUUAUCCACAUUUUAUGAAUGAGGAAACCAAGUAGGAGAAGUCAUAGAACACUUCCAAAGUCACUCGGAAAAUGGUGGAGCCACGACAGAGGGUGAGAUGGUUGGAUGGCAUCACCGACUCAAUGGACAUGAGUUUGAGCAAACUCCGGGAGAUGGUGAAGGAUGAGGGAGACUGGUGUGCUGCAGUCCAUGGAGUUGCAAAGAGUUGGACAUGACUGAGAGACUGAACAAUAACAACAAAGAUUCAAACCCAGGCAGUCACAGAGUCCAUGUUUUUUUCCCAUUCUGCUUCAUAGCACACUUAAAACUGUAUUCUUUUUUAAAAAAAAAAUCAAUCUACAGAUAUUUGGGGGUUAUUUACUAAAUGCCACACCCUGUGACAGGUCCUGGGGAAAGAGUGGCAAGCAGGGCAAAAUGUCCCUUAAAAAAGGGACCAGCUGUUCCCUUGAAUCCUGCCCUUUGUCCCAACUCCCUUCCCUGUCACAGAAAAGUCUCAGCCACUUAAGUGUUUAAAGCAGAAUCCUGAAGGUGGGAGGGAAAGGGUCAUUCUAGACCUGUCUCCAUCUCCCACCUCGCCUUGCGCUAGGUCUGCUGGCAAGGCUAACUGAUUCUGCUACUGAAUGUUUCUAUCCAGUCAACCUCCUUCUUCCCAUUCUCCCAAAUCCACCCUCACCAGGGCACCAUCUUGCUGGGAUGAGCAUGCAGGGUUUCUAGUCCUGCUGCCUUCUGCACUGAUACUCUCACCCCCCUCCAACCCAGGCUCCACAUGGCAGCUACAAAGGUCUUGCAAAAAAAAGUCACAUGUCACUACCCCACUAGUUCCCACUGCAUUUGGAAUAAAACCCAAACUCCUGAACAACGCUUCCAGUCCCUGCCACCUCAUGGCUUGCCACUGUCUGACUCACUCUCUGAGGCCCAGCAUACAGGGGCCUGUUGUUAAUAGGCUCUGAGCGUUCCUCCCUGGGCUGUUGUCUCCCCAGCGAGACUGUAUGCUCUGUAAGGACAGGGCGCGUCAUAACUGUA
ensembl:lncRNA